CCUACGGGUGGCUGCAGUGGGGAAUUUUGCGCAAUGGGCGAAAGCCUGACGCAGCAACGCCGCGUGAGUGAUGAAGGCUUUCGGGUCGUAAAGCUCUGUCAAUGGGAAAGAAGUGUAUUGAGGCUAAUAUCCUUGAUACUUGACGGUACCCAUAAAGGAAGCACCGGCUAACUCCGUGCCAGCAGCCGCGGUAAUACGGGGGGUGCAAGCGUUGUUCGGAAUUAUUGGGCGUAAAGCGCGUGUAGGCGGUUUGUUAAGUCUGUUGUGAAAGCCCU
rnacentral:rRNA from 1 species